GCUUGUGAGGAUCUUUGCAGUCCUCCACACCGCCGACACGUCUGUCGGGAUUCUCUGCCUGGAAACACCGCAAACUAAUCGGAACCUGCGACCGACAGAGACAGACGAGAGGUCGAUUAGGUGUGAAUUGCUGUUCUAAAAUGGGAGGAGACCAGAGUCAUGAGAAGGAGGCUGAGGAGCGAGGAGAAGAAACAGAGAAACAGCAGGAGUUGGACAAAACCGACAACUCAGCCUCUGAAGACACACUAGGAGAGUUGCCACAGUGCAGGAUGGGAAACAGGAAGGUGGACAACAUGUGUUUCAUGAUCUCAUGCACCAACUGGUACUAAACUGGUCCUGGUGAACUUAAAGGGAGUGAAAACAGUGUGAGCUGCUGGGUCGGAUGCUGCAUGCAUGGAAAUCUCGAUGUCCCUAAGCCCUGCUGCAUCCUUUAAUCACUGCAUUUUGGACGACUUCUCUGAGAAAUCUUGUGAUUAAUCCAUCAUUAAACUAGCAGUCAGGACUUUAGGUUGUUUCCAGUGAGAUUUAGUGGCCUGUAAAUGUCAGGCAUAUCAGUCAAUAUUUCAUGAUGUGACAGCUUUUUUUUCCUCUUCUUUUAUGCAUAAUCAUACAAAAUGAUAACUUUAUACCAGGAAAAGUCCAGAAACAUUAGCAAUAGUGCUUGUAAAGCUGAAUGUUGAUUGAUUGAGGCACAGACUGCAAAUAAAGGACAACUGUGAAGUAAAACUCAGAAAAGCGCUACUGUGUUGAGGUGGUGAGUCUGCAGACGUGAUCAGGUGGGAGGGUGUGGCAUGGAUGCGUCUUCUAGUGCAAGGCCACAGCAAUAAAUUAUAGCAAAAACCAGCCUGAGUGGGGAAAAGUAGAUGACUAGCUUCUGAGUUUAUGGAGGUGGAUUUCAAAACCACAUCUUUGUCCUCGGAUCACUGCUGCACAUGAUGUUUACAAGGAGAUAAAUACAUCCACCUGUUAAAGGAAAGAAGUUUCUUCAGGCUUUUCAUAAAUCUGACUUAUAAAAGACUGUUUAAGAUGUUGGCUGAUUGUUGGAAGCUAAAUAAAACAUCUGGUGGACAUCUGGCUGGUGUUCUGUUUGUAUAGCUUUUGAAACAAAGGAGGCAAUGUGAAUGUCAGAUUAUUUAAAGCCUCUUUACAGGAAA